rnacentral:lncRNA from 1 species
CAUCCGGGCAGCGAGGAGACUGAACCCUCGCCAGGCAAGAUGCAGACCCGAAGACAAACCAAGUCUCCAAUUGUCCCAGUACUUGUUUAUGUGCAGGCCUAAGUGACCACACACACUCAAAUGGACCUACAGCUGGGACACAUGAUGACCACAAUUUCAACGCUGCAACCGAGAUGGAAUGACAUCGAGGGACACACGCUGAGACCCUGAGUAUGACUGGACAUGGGCUAGGGUAUUUGUAAUGACCUAAAAAGGGAUGCAGAAGCACACCAGCACACCUUUUAAUGUUCAUUCCAUGGCCAACCAUCCCUCUAGUUACCCCUUAUUCCACACUUUGCCUUUUAUGCUCCAUGGACCCUCAACUUGACACUUUGGAACUCCAUCUUCUUGCUAUA